CCUGGUGACGAUUGCUAUGGGGAAACACCCGUUCCCAUCCCGAAUACGGAAGUAAAGUCCAUAGCGCUCAUGAUACUUGGCUGGAGACGGUCUGGGAAAGUAGGUGUUGCCAGGA
rnacentral:rRNA from 1 species